rnacentral:lncRNA from 1 species
UUGCUAUUAAUUUUAUUCAAACCGUUUGAAGAUUACAAUUUUUAUAUAAAUAUUGACAUAAAACAACCAAUAUUUAAUAAAUAAUAAUUAAAGCUUUUAGGUCAAGCGGAAUCAAAAAUGAAUUUAUACUAAUAAAUAUUCAAAUUAUGGCCUGACUUUGUAAUUAAAUUUAGUUGAAAGCAAAAAUAAACAUUUUAAAAUAAAAUUAUUUUUUUUAAGUUGAUGAAAAUGUUAAAGCUUAUUGUAAUACCCUAUUUUGGCCCGGGUCUAAAGUGCCCGAAUUACAAACGGGCCUAUGUGGCCCAAACCAAACGGAGGCCCAAAAUUAAUCAGGCCCAAAACAAUAGACAGAAACCCUAGGGUUUCUAAGGAAAUCUUCUUGCGCCACAACCAGGCUCUUCGCACAAGCCGCGUCCCUGUACCUGCACAUCAAGAAAGCAAACAGCAGUAUAUGGAAAGAAAAAGAUUGCGAAUCAAAGAAAACAGAUUUGAUUCCUUUAUGAUAUUGUUUCAUUCGGCUAUAAAAAGCCACCAAUAUACUGUAAUGGGGAUAAAAAAAUCAAUAAGAAAAAGAUAACAGCAUUUCACGCGAAAACUGGAUAUUAAAUCGGAGAAUCAAUCAAAAACGCAAAGGUUGAUAUUUUUUUUGUUUCAGUUAUUUACUUUCUUUUAUUUUUUUUCAUACUAAUAAAAUAAAGGAAAAAGGGAAAGACUUUUACCUUCGUGUGGUCUGUCACGCCGCGAGAAGACCGAGGGAGCCACCCCCGAGGAUCGGUGGCCGGAAACCGAAGGGUUUCUUGAUUUUCUUAGUAUUUUUGGUUCGAUUUUGGGGAUUUGGAACCCGGAUUUGGGUUUAGAAGGUCACAAGGACCAGAUUAGGGAUUUUCCCUCUUUUCCGGCUACUGCAGACGACGGUGCCGGCGCCGGAGAACGGCGGCCGGCGCGGUGGCCGGGCUGGAUGCCGGACGAUUGGGUAGGGGAGAGUUUUUUUUGAAAGGUGUUUUGUUUUUAAAACAGAAUGAAAAAAUGAAAAUUUUUGAAUUAUUUUUGGCUUAAAUAGCCUUUUGGAAACGACGUCGUUUCAUUAGGCCUCCCCAGGUGCUAAAACGACGUCGUUUUGGGGAGGCCGACCCGAAUCUGACCCGACCUAGGAUCCGCGUGUUUUUAUGCGGAGGGGUAAAUUGUGCUUUUAGCCCUUCCGCCUUUUAGGAUUUUUGCAAUUAAGUUUUUAUUUUUUAAAAUUUACCCCUUUAAUUUAUUUUCGAUUUCAAUUGGGUCCAAUUUGAACGGCGUCGUUUUGGAGGAGAAGGGAUAAUUUCCUUUCCAGCCCCUCUAUGUUAUUCGCGUGUUCAAUAUGGUCCCUUUUGCCUCCAAUUAUUUGCGGAUUUUCCCCAGACUCCUAUUUCCAAUUCAAAUUAG